rnacentral:rRNA from 1 species
AGCGAACGCUGGCGGCAGGCCUAAUACAUGCAAGUCGAACGCCCCUUCGGGGGAGUGGCGGACGGGUGAGUAACGCGUGGGAACGUGCCCUUUGGUACGGAACAACUGAGGGAAACUUCAGCUAAUACCGUAUGUGCCCUUCGGGGGAAAGAUUUAUCGCCAUUGGAGCGGCCCGCGUUGGAUUAGCUAGUUGGUGGGGUAAAGGCCCACCAAGGCGACGAUCCAUAGCUGGUCUGAGAGGAUGACCAGCCACACUGGGACUGAGACACGGCCCAGACUCCUACGGGAGGCAGCAGUAGGGAAUCUUGGGCAAUGGGCGAAAGCCUGACCCAGCCAUGCCGCGUGAAUGAUGAAGGUCUUAGGAUUGUAAAAUUCUUUCACCGGGGACGAUAAUGACGGUACCCGGAGAAGAAGCCCCGGCUAACUUCAUGCCAGCCGCCGCGGUAAGAC